UACAGAGGUCCCGAGCGUUGUUCGGAUUCACUGGGCGUAAAGGGUGCGUAGGUGGUGGGGUAAGUCUCGUGUGAAAGCUCGCAGCUUAACUGCGAAAAGUCAUGGGAUACUAUUCCGCUAGAGGCUUGGAGGGGGGACUGGAAUACUUGGUGUAGCAGUGAAAUGCGUAGAUAUCAAGUGGAACACCAGUGGCGAAGGCGAGUCCCUGGACAAGACCUGACACUGAGGCACGAAAGCCAGGGGAGCAAAC
rnacentral:rRNA from 1 species